AAGUGAGCAGCAGUGUUGACCCAAGGACACGGAAGCUUCUACUCAGGGCAAAACCACGUGAGAGAGUGUGACUAACCACGAGUCGUGACGAAUAAGGAAUACACGUCAGGCCUCUUCCCUGGUCCCUGGCACAGAGCCCCCUACCGGCGGCGUCCACCACCUGCAGCCCAACACAAAAUUACCCUGUGAUCACAGCACCACGGACUGAAGCCCUUGAAUCCCUAACCCCCAACCCGGCAUGUGGAGCAUGGAGCAAGGAUGUACGUGGGUUUGCU